GCACCCGUAGUUCAGCCGGAUAGAACGCAGCGUUGCGGACGCUGAGGUCGGGGGUUCGAGUCCCUUCGGGUGCG
rnacentral:tRNA from 1 species